GUCGRGGGGCAUCACGUGAGGCAGCAAUGCAUCUGGGUGGCGACCGGCGAAUGGGUGAGUAACGAGUAUCCAACCUGGCCCAUACUCGGGCACAGCCCCGCGAAAGCGGGAUUAAUGCCCGAUGCGGCGUAUCUCCCGCAUGGGAAUUACGUCAAAGGUAUAAACUGGUAUGGGAUGGGGAUGCGUCCGAUUAGCUAGACGGCGGGGUAACGGCCCACCGUGGCGAUGAUCGGUAGGGGUUCUGAGAGGAAGGUCCCCCACAUUGGAACUGAGACACGGUCCAAACUCCUACGGGAGGCAGCAGUGAGGAAUAUUGGUCAAUGGCCGCAAGGCUGAACCAGCCAAGUAGCGUGAGGGAUGACCGCCCUAUGGGUCGUAAACCUCUUUUGCACGGGAAUAACCGCACCCACGCGUGGGUGCCUGCAUGUACCGUGCGAAUAAGCAUCGGCUAACUCCGUGCCAGCAGCCGCGGUAAUACGGAGGAUGCAAGCGUUAUCCGGAUUUAUUGGGUUUAAAGGGUGCGUAGGCGGUUUGCUAAGCGGGAGGUGAAAUGCCGGCGCUCAACGUCGGAAGUGCCUCCCGAACUGGUGGACUGGAAUGACUCUGCCGUGGGAGGAAUGUGUAGUGUAGCGGUGAAAUGCUUAGAGAUUACACAGAACACCGAUUGCGAAGGCAUCUCACGAAGGGUUGAUUGACGCUGAGGCACGAAAGCGUGGGGAUCAAACAGGAUUAGAUACCCUGGUAGUCCACGCAGUAAACGAUGAUGGCUAACCGCUGGGGCUGACGCUUCAGUGGCCAAGCGAAAGCGAUAAGCCAUCCACCUGGGGAGUACGACCGCAAGGUUGAAACUCAAAGGAAUUGACGGGGGCCCGGACAAGCGGAGGAACAUGUGGUUUAAUUCGAUGAUACGCGAGGAACCUUACCCGGGCUCGAACGGCAGAGGAACAAUCCAGAGAUGGUGCGGCCCUUCGGGGCUUCUGUCGAGGUGCUGCAUGGUUGUCGUCAGCUCGUGCCGUGAGGUGUCGGCUCAAGUGCCAUAACGAGCGCAACCCUUGCCGUCAGUUACCAUCAAGUAGUGUUGGGGACUCUGGCGGGACUACCACCGCAAGGUGUGAGGAAGGGGGGGAUGACGUCAAAUCAGCACGGCCCUUACGUCCGGGGCGACACACGUGUUACAAUGGCGGCCACAGAGGGGCACUACCUGGCGACAGGAUGGGAAUCUCGAAAAGCCGUCUCAGUCCGGAUCGGAGUCUGCAACCCGACUCCGUGAAGCUGGAUUCGCUAGUAAUCGCGCAUCAGCCAUGGCGCGGUGAAUACGUUCCCGG
rnacentral:rRNA from 1 species